ACGGACAUAUUUCGAUGAAACACUGGUUCUUGUACGAUUAUCGAAGUUAAGCAACGUCACAUGUGUGUGGUACUUAGAUGGGUGACCGCUUGAGAAUAUCAGGUGCUGUAA